rnacentral:rRNA from 1 species
AACGCUAGCUACAGGCUUAACACAUGCAAGUCGAGGGGUAACAAGAGGAAAGCUUGCUUUCCUUGUUGACGACCGGCGCACGGGUGGGUAACGCGUAUCCAACCUGCCUAUAACUAGGGAAUAACCUUGCGAAAGUAAGACUAAUACCCUAUGAUUUCCUUUGAUGACAUCAGAUUAGGAAUAAAGAUUUAUCGGUUAUAGAUGGGGAUGCGUCUGAUUAGCUUGUUGGCGGGGUAACGGCCCACCAAGGCAACGAUCAGUAUGGGUUCUGAGAGGAAGGUCCCCCACAUUGGAACUGAGACACGGUCCAAACUCCUACGGGAGGCAGCAGUGAGGAAUAUUGGUCAAUGGGCGGAAGCCUGAACCAGCCAAGUAGCGUGCAGGAUGACGGCCCUAUGGGUUGUAAACUGCUUUUAUACAGGAAUAAAGUUAGCCACGUGUGGUUAUUUGUAGGUACUGUAUGAAUAAGGACCGGCUAAUUCCGUGCCAGCAGCCGCGGUAAUACGGAAGGUCCAGGCGUUAUCCGGAUUUAUUGGGUUUAAAGGGAGCGUAGGCCGUCUGUUAAGCGUGUUGUGAAAUGUAGAUGCUCAACAUCUGAAUUGCAGCGCGAACUGGCAGACUUGAGUGUGCGCAACGUAGGCGGAAUUCGUGGUGUAGCGGUGAAAUGCUUAGAUAUCACGAAGAACUCCGAUUG